rnacentral:rRNA from 1 species
AUUGAACGCUGGCGGCAUGCCUAACACAUGCAAGUCGAGCGGACGAAGGGAGCUUGCUCCCGGAUUCAGUGGCGGACGGGUGAGUAAUGCCUAGGAAUCUGCCUUGUCGUGGGGGAUAACGUCCGGAAACGGGCGCUAAUACCGCAUACGUCCAGAUGUAGAAAGUGGGGGAUCUUCGGUCCUCACGGGAUCAGAUGAGCCUAAGAGGGAUUAGCUAGUUGGUGGGGUAAAGGCCUACCAAGGCGACGAUCCGUAACUGGUCUGAGAGGAUGAUCAGUCACACUGGAACUGAGACACGGUCCAGACUCCUACGGGAGGCAGCAGUCGGGAAUCUUGGGCAAUGGGCGAAAGCCUGAUCCAGCCAUGCCGCGUGAGUGAAGAAGGUCUUCGGAUUGUAAAGCGCUGUAAGUUGGGAGGAAGGAAAGUGAGUUUAUCCCUGGCUGUUUUGACGUUACCAACAGAAUAAGCACCGGCUAACUUCGUG